rnacentral:rRNA from 1 species
UACGAAGGGGGCGAGCGUUGUUCGGAAUUACUGGGCGUAAAGGGCGCGUAGGCGGCCGAUCAAGUCAGAUGUGAAAGUCCUGGGCUUAACCUGGGGACUGCAUUUGAUACUGAUUGGCUUGAAUGCAGGAGAGGAUAGCGGAAUUCCCAGUGUAGAGGUGAAAUUCGUAGAUAUUGGGAAGAACACCGGUGGCGAAGGCGGCUCACUGGCCCGGUACUGACGCGUGAGGUGGCGAAAAGCGU